GAUUCGGACAAGCGAGUGGGGCAAAAGCCACCGCCGGCGCAGUUAGUCGCGUGACGAGCAGUCGCUGGCUUCACUUCGCUGUCCCAAAAUGACUACAACCUCAACUGAGUG
ensembl:snoRNA scaRNA:MeU5-U42 small Cajal body-specific RNA : MeU5-U42